CAGGCUUUACCUUCCUCUGAUAAUUGGCAAAAGGUUCUGAAGCUCCGAGGCCAUCUGGAGUCCUCGUAAACUAGCAUACCUACAGCCAAAGAAUUCUGUGAUGAUCAGAAGACUGACUACAGCAUCCCUGCAGUACAGAGCCAGGCAAACAUCCGCCUGCUGGAGGCACCUGCCUGGGUGCUGGGAUCAGUCUCAAAUCUAGCACACAAUGGGCCACCCACGCUGGCAUCUUUCCUAUGGUGUCCUUGCCCUGGCACCUCCUGGUCAUCGAUAUGUCCUGGAAUAAGCUCAACCUGAAAUCAACAGACCUUCAUGUCCACAGCUGUGCCUUAUUGGACCAUUCCCUGAUCCACCAGCUGAAAGAGAGUCAUGCUGUCCUCUGAGGCUCCACCAUACCUGGAAUAGACAUCUCUUGGU